UGGGGAAUUUUGGACAAUGGGCGAAAGCCUGAUCCAGCAAUGCCGCGUGUGUGAAGAAGGCCUUCGGGUUGUAAAGCACUUUUGUCCGGAAAGAAAUCCUUGGCUCUAAUACAGUCGGGGGAUGACGGUACCGGAAGAAUAAGCACCGGCUAACUACGUGCCAGCAGCCGCGGUAAUACGUAGGGUGCAAGCGUUAAUCGGAAUUACUGGGCGUAAAGCGUGCGCAGGCGGUUUGCUAAGACCGAUGUGAAAUCCCCCGGGCUCAACCUGGGAACUGCAUUGGUGACUGGCAGGCUAGAGUAUGGCAGAGGGGGGUAGAAUUCCACGUGUANCAGUGAAAUGCGUAGAGAUGUGGAGGAAUACCGAUGGCGAAGGCAGCCCCCUGGGCCAAUACUGACGCUCAUGCACGAAAAGCGUGGGGGAGCAAAACAGGAUUAGAUACCCUGGUAGUCCACGCCCUAAACGAUGUCAACUAGUUGUUGGGGAUUCAUUUCCUUAGUAACGUAGCUAACGCGUGAAGUUGACCGCCUGGGGGAGUACGGUCGCAAGAUUAAAACUUAAAUGAAUUGACGGGGUCAUAGCUGUUUCCU
rnacentral:rRNA from 1 species